UUUUUUUUUUUUUUAAUUUUUAUUUUCCAUUUUAAUUGCCGUGCAUCUUAGUGUGUUCCUCCUUAGGUAAAUACUGUAAGGAACUUUCUCACUUUUUAGAACUUGGAUAUCUGUUUCCUUUCCCAGAUUAUGGAAGUAUUGAGCUAUUAUGCCUUCAAACAGGUUCUCAGCCUCUCUCUCUCUUCUCCUUCUGGGACCCUAUAAUGUGAAUAUUGGCCCAGAGUUCUGUUAAAUGGUUCUCAUUUCUUUUCAUUCUUGUGUCUUUUUUUUUUUUUUUUUUUUCAGCAUCAGCGAUUCCCCCUACUGUUUUCUAGCUCACUGAUCUGUUCCCUUUUAUUGUUGAGUUUACUGUUGAUUCCUUCUAGUGUAUUUCAUUUCUGUUAUUCUUCCUUUCUUUUUGGUUGUUCUUUUUAUUUUCUUACUCUGUUAAAAACAUCUAACUUCUCAUUCUGUGCACACACUCUUCUCCCAAGUUCUAUGAUCAUGUUUGUGAUCACUACCCUGAGUUCCUUCUCUGGUAUUUUGCCUAAAUCCACUUCACUUACUACCUCUGGGGUUAUUAUGUAUUUUUCCAUUGGAACAUGUUCCUCUGUCACCUCUUUGCCUAAGUUGCUGUUUUCAGUUUUAUGUGUCUGAUAGGUUGGUUAUCUUUCCCUGCUUUGGAGAAGUGGCCUUUUGCAAAUGACAUAUUUUGUAUCCCAGCAAUGCACUUUCCUCUUGUUACUUGAGGUAUGUGCUGUAGGGUUUUCCCCCUAUGAAAUCUGGGUGGGUCCUUCUAUUGCAGCAGAGUGACUACAUGCGUGACCUAGUAGGUUCAUUUGGACCCUGGUCCAAUUGGUUGUCAGGCCCUGCCUUGUGUGGAGGCUGCUGGUUGCUGGUUAUUGAAACUGGGUCAUAUGGCAGCUAACAGCAGAGCUCGUGCUGGGUCUGGUGUGUGAAAUCACAGUUCAGAAGACUCCAGGGCUUUUGCCUGCCCAUUGGUGAGUGAAGCCAGGUUCUGGGGUUAGCAUUAGCCUACUGGUAGGCAGAGUUGAGUUCUGGAAUCUUGUUGCAGGAUUCAAGGCGUCACAGAGUUAGUGUUUGACCUCUGUCGGGGCCAAUUCCUGACUUGUUUGGGUAUGGGGUCUGGGGCAUCCCAAAGCUUAUAUUGUCCUGCUAGUGGGGAGAUCUGGGGUCCAGCUGAUCCCAGGGCAGGGUCUGGCCUUAUGAUUGGUGGGCUUGGUCUGACAGCUGUAGGAUUGUGGUUUUCUUGAGUCUAGAGUCUGCCUCCUGCUGGAUGAGGCUAGCGCAGAGGCUAGAACAGCCUCCCUGGAGGGCAGGGCCGGGGGCCAAGGAAUUAUGGGACUGGUGCCUUCCCACUAGUGGGUUGAACUGGGUCCUGGGCCCUCUGGUGGACAGGACCAUGUCCAGAGGAACCUAUGGGCUCAAGGUGUCUUAGAGCAGCCUCUCUCCUGAUGGGUGGGGCUGUGUCCCUAUCCAGCUGGUUGCAAAGCCUGAGUUCUCAGCACUGGCUCCUACAGGCUGUUGGUAGGUCUAGGUUUUGGAACUGAUGAGCUAGGGGGCGUGUUUCACUGUGGCCCUUGCAAGCACCGGUGGCCACAUGGUAGAAAGUUCAACCCACAACAGCUACCAUUGGUGUCUAUGUGCCCAGGGUGAACUGCAUUGCCUCCCACUUCUCUGUGAGGCUCUGCUAAUAUCAGCAGGUAGGUCUAACCCAGACUCCUCUCAAAUUACUCUUUCUUCCCUGGGUAUCAGAGCAUGUGAGAUUUUUGUAUGCACCCUUUUAGGAUGAAACCUCUAUUUACUUAAGCCCCCUGGCACUCCCCAAAUUAAGCCCCACUGGCCUUCAAAGCCAUGUGUUCUGGGGGUUUAGUUUCCUGGUGGAGCACCCCUGUGCUGGGGAGCCCGAUGUGGGGUUCAGACCUCUCAGUCCUUUGUGAGAAGCUCUGCAAUGUAAUUAUUCUCCUGUUUGUGAGUUGACUAUCCAAGGGUAUGGAACUUGACUGUAUUGUGAGUUUGCCCUUCCUACCUGUCUUAUGGUUCCUCCUUUGUGUAUGUAGUUGAAAUCUUUUUGGGAGGUUCUGGUCUUUUUCAUUCGUGGUUGCUCUGUGGAUAGUUGUUACUUGGGUGUGACUGUGAGGGAAGGCAUGGUCUUUCUACUCAGCCAUCUUGGUCAAUUGCCUGAAUGCUGCUUUCUGACCCCAGAUUUUCUACAGUGUCAGAACUCUAGACCAGGUGUUCCUAAGGACCUCAGGACAGGUCUUAACUCUCAGCAAACUUUUGUUACAUGACAAAGAAAAGUCAGAGCUCUGUGAAUCAAGAAUCACAGGCCCUGAGGGAAAAAAAAAAUCCUUGAAACUGAGAGUAUCAUCUUUUAGGAAUGGUGCCACCAGCUUCCAUGCCCUCUCCUGGUGGGUGUGGAUGUAAUGGGCAUAAUCAGGAGCAGUUUUCUCCUAGGGAGCUGGUUCUGCAGCAGACUGACUCCUGGACUCAAUAAUUGUUAUAAAUGACCCGCAAGAGAGCCUGCUAUGGUCAAUCUACAAGUGUGUAGGAGGCAGUAGGCCUCAGAGGAGCUUGCAGCCCUCCUGAGGUGUAGCAUCAGUGCAGCUGGAUCAUGGAACUGCCCUGGAGAGGUAUAGGUAACAUGCUGAAAAACUGAGGAGUAUAUGCUGUUUUAAUAUAACAACUAAAAUACAUGGACACAAACUAAAUCCAUCCUGUCAUGUUUUUGAAAUUCUGAUGUAUCAAGGUCCCAUUAAUCUUGCCUGACAGAUCUGGGCCUCUACAUAGCAGAGUUGUUGGGAAAACCCAGAGCAGAGCUUGCCAUGGAGACACAACUACACAGGUCUGUGAUCUUGCUAUGUAAAUGGCUAGUGGGAUCAAUGGGAUGUUUGAUGGUCAUCAGGAUGUUUUCAAAUGUCUCCAUUUCCAGGAGAAGCUAAAUCUAAGUCAUUCAGGUUUGAUAUAAUUCUCCCUCAGAAGAAUUUUCCAUUAGAAGGAAUAAACAUCUUCUGAUUUUUGCGACUCUCAGUACAGCUGCAAAGGACACAUCAAGUGGGGUAUGAAAGUUACCCAGAAACCACUGAAUGGAGUAGCUGCUUUCUGCCAAAUGUUCUACCUUGUUGUUUAACUUUGAACCCAAGCUCAGGCUUCUAGAAAUACACUGAAUGUGAUACCUUCUAGCUGACAUCAUAGCCAACCCUUGUGGCCCCAAAGGGAACAUAGAGAGGGUAUCUGCAUUGAUUUAUGAAAUGGAAAUAGUCACAGGGAUCAAAAAUGAUGGCAAAUAGUUGGAACAAAAAUGGAUAGAGAGCAGAGAGUUGAGCUGGGGGAAAUCAGACCCACUUACCUACUAUGACAUUUUUUCAGUUAAAAAGGGUGCAACUUCCACUGUCUGAUAACAAAAAUAAAAUUGACCUCUCUUUGAGAGGUCAUAAUUCAGGCUUGGAUCAAGGAUGCAAGACAGCCCAUGUCCAGAAAAGUGGUUUAUGACAUUGCCAAUAAAACCAUUUUGGAUUCAUUAGCAGUUAGUUGAAAUAACAGAUAUUGUGACAUUGCCAGGUCCUGCCAAAUGUAUGUCAGGUGUCAAAUGUACAAGACCCUCAUGUUUAUACAGACACUUGUGAGAAUGUUAGAACCUCUCCAUGAGACCCAAUCCUAUAAGUGAACCCAGUCUUGUAUACACAUGGGAAUUUGCAAAAUCAUAUUCAUAGCCUUGUUUCCCUAUAACCCUAAAUUCAGAAUAAUAUUGAGAAUAUUUUUUGUAACAAUACAUAACGUUAGGUUCACAUUGGGUUUCAAAAAGUUUAACAAAGUAAAUUGGCUUUUUUUUUUUUAACAAAGUGCUCAAAAUUGGCAAGUUGAAAAUAAACUUUGUCUUCAGCUAUGUAUGUGAAGCUAAUUCUUCUCCCAGUAAUACUCUUCUAACAUUAAAACAAUGUCUUUAACCAUUACAUUUUACAAUUGUAAUAUAUCUCUAAGAGCUACAAUUAAAAUCAGAAUCAAGUACAUUCUGUGUACAGAGCUUACUGUGAUUUUUUUAAAAAAAAACUAAUAAUUUAGAUAUAUAACUUUUAAGUACACUAACAUAAUAUCAAGCUAACUGUCCUUUAUUUUGGCUCAUCUAAUUUACAAACAUGAUUUCUGAAGUUUAACAGUAUUUGUAAUGGCAAUGUCCAAAGCAAUUUUGGCUAAGUCAAGUGAUAUUUGUUGAACAAAAAUGUAGUUGUUUGUGCAAGUUUAAACAUUUCAUAAGGCCAGCUGAGUUCAUUUCAACCCUACUUACAAAAUAAUUAUUGGCAAAUGAAAUGGGCUGAGGAGUAGAGACAAGACAUUUUUAAGAUUCUGAGAUUUUUAAAACCAAAUUCUUCAACCAUUGAAACUAAAAGCAAAAGGUCACAGACAGUUAAAAGGCACAGUUUUAAAUCUCAGGAUUAAAAAAAUGUUCGGACAAGAGAAAUAUUUACAGUGGAACAAUGAGGAAAAUGUUUUGUUACAGUCAGAAACAUGAAAAAUAUGGCGUUGAAAAUUGUUGGCUCUGAAAGACAUAAAAUCCAGACCAAGACUAUUAAAAAUAUCAAAGUGAUCUAUGUGCCAGCUCUAUUUUGUCCUGUUUUUGUAAAGAAAAGCCGUUGUUGAAUAUAAUGCAGUCCUGCUUAAAUUAUCAAAGACAUUUUCCAUUUGCAAGCUGUUGUUUACUGUAUGCUAUAUAUUCUUCUACAAUUUUAGUACACUUCCAUCAGAGAAACAUAGGUGCAGAGAUAAGAGGGAAAUUAUGAGUCAUACUUCAACUUCCUAAUCAAGGUACAAACCCUUUCCAAACUAGUUGUUUGACUCAUCUCAGUUGAGUAUCAUUUAUGAGCAAGGUUUCUUUUUUUUUUUUUGGAUGGAAAAGUUACAGAUAAAAAAUACUUGGAGGGAGUUUCCACUGUGGCUCAGCAGGUUACGAACUCAACUAGUAUUCAUGAGGAUGCAGGUUCAAUCCCUGGCCUCGCUCAGUGGGUUAAGGAUCAGGUGUUGCUGUGGCUGUGGUAUAGUCCAGCAGCUGCAGCUCUGAUUUGACCCCUAGUUUGGAAACUUUUCCAUAUGCCAUGGAUAUGGCCCCCCAAAAGACAAAAAACAAAAACAAAAA
rnacentral:lncRNA from 1 species